AUUGAACGCUGGCGGCAUGCCUUACACAUGCAAGUCGAACGGCAGCAUGAUCUAGCUUGCUAGAUUGAUGGCGAGUGGCGAACGGGUGAGUAAUACAUCGGAACGUGCCCUGUAGUGGGGGAUAACUAGUCGAAAGAUUAGCUAAUACCGCAUACGACCUGAGGGUGAAAGUGGGGGACCGCAAGGCCUCAUGCUAUAGGAGCGGCCGAUGUCUGAUUAGCUAGUUGGUGAGGUAAAGGCUCACCAAGCCGACGAUCUGUAGCUGGUCUGAGAGGACGACCAGCCACACUGGGACUGAGACACGGCCCAGACUCCUACGGGAGGCAGCAGUGGGAAUUUUGGACAAUGGGCGCAAGCCUGAUCCAGCAAUGCGCGUGCAGGAUGAAGGCCUU
rnacentral:rRNA from 1 species